rnacentral:rRNA from 1 species
ACUCCUACGGGAGGCAGCAGUGGGGAAUAUUGCACAAUGGGGGAAACCCGUAGCAUGCAGCCAUGCCGCGUGUGUGAAGAAGGCCUUCGGGUUGUAAAGCACUUUCAGCGAGGAGGAAAGGGUGUAAGUUAAUACCUUACAUCUGUGACGUUACUCGCAGAAGAAGCACCGGCUAACUCCGUGCCAGCAGCCGCGGUAAUACGGAGGGUGCGAGCGUUAAUCGGAAUUACUGGGCGUAAAGCGUGCGCAGGCGGUUUGUUAAGCGAGAUGUGAAAGCCCGGCUCAGCCUGGAACCGG